rnacentral:lncRNA from 1 species
GUGAACAAUUUUGACACUGUAGAGAUUUGUUCCAAUUCUGAAAGAAGUGAAAAGUCGACUCUCCAACCCUUUGUGAAAUACGCUUCUGAACCUAAUUAUAGUGAUUUAUGUUCCAAAUCUGCACAGGGGUAACAGAUCUGUGCUUGCUGGGCUCUUUCCAGGACUUCGUUGAGUUUAGAACUAGUGAAGAACUGGACGCGAUCUUCCUUCCUUUCCCAAUUCGUUUUGUACCAAAGCUGUUAAAGUCCAGAGGAACAGGGACCUUAAUUAACCAUACAUCCACCAAUUCACCACCAACUCGGAUCGCAUGUUGCUUUCCAUUCAGCCCACUGGGAAAAAGUGUAUUUUGCAGCCAGAUGUCCAGAUUGGAACACUGAAGGAUUACUACCACUUCUACCAUAGUAAAACAAUUAAAAGGUCAGUUCUCUCAAGUAGAGGUACCCACAGCUUCAUUUCAAUGGAACCAAAGGUGGAGUGGAUACAACAGCAGGUGGUUAAAAGAAGGAUAAAGAGAGAUUAUAAACCUGGUGGUACCCAAUCCACUUAUUUCAAUGAUCCCAAGUGGCCAAGCAUGUGGUACAUGCACUGCAGUGAUAACACCCAUCAUUGCCAAUCAGAUAUGAAUAUAGUAGGUGCUUGGAAGAGAGGCUACACUGGAAAGAACGUUGUGGUCACCAUCCUGGAUGACGGCAUUGAAAGAAACCAUCCUGACUUGAUGCAGAAUUAUGAUUCACAGGCCAGUUUUGAUGUCAAUGGAAAUGAUUUUGACCCCAUGCCUCGGUAUGAUGCCAGCAACGAGAACAAGAAGCAUGGUCCAGUGCAAGUGGCAGCCACGGCAAACAACUCACACUGCACUGUAGGGAUCGCCUUUAAUGCCAAGAUUGGAGGCGUACGGAUGCUGGAUGGGGACGUGACAGACAUGGUCGAGGCAAAGUCCCUGAGCCUUAAUCCGCAGCAUAUCCACAUCUACAGCGCCAGCUGGGGGCCUGAUGAUGAUGGUAAGACUGUGGACGGACCUGCUUCUCUAGCGCGUCAGGCCUUUGAGAACGGCAUCAGAAUGGGACGAAGAGGCUUAGGCUCAGUUUUUGUUUGGGCAUCUGGAAAUGGUGGAAGGAGUCGAGACCAUUGCUCCUGUGAUGGCUACACCAAUAGCAUAUACACUAUCUCCAUAAGCAGCACAGCUGAAAGUGGGAAGAAGCCCUGGUAUCUGGAAGAAUGUGCAUCCACGCUAGCUACGACAUACAGCAGCGGGGAAUCCUACGACAGGAAAAUAAUCACCACAGACCUGAGGCAGCGUUGCACAGACAGCCAUACGGGAACCUCAGCCUCUGCACCUAUGGCUGCAGGCAUCAUUGCACUGGCACUGGAAGCAAAUCCAUUUCUGACCUGGAGAGACAUACAGCAUAUUAUUGUAAGGACUUCACGUGCGGGACAUCUGAAUGCUAACGACUGGAAAACCAAUGCAGCUGGUUAUAAGGUGAGCCACCUCUAUGGAUUUGGACUGAUGGAUGCUGAAGCAAUGGUGAUAGAAGCAGAAAAGUGGACAACAGUCCCUCCACAGCAUGUGUGUGUGGAGAACACGGAUCGGCAAAUCAAAACAAUACGACCUGACAGCGUUGUCCGUUCAAUUUACAAAGCCACCGGCUGCUCAGAUAACCCCAACCACCACGUGAUCUACUUGGAGCAUGUGGUUGUGCGCAUCACUAUUACUCACCCUCGACGUGGAGACUUGGCAAUUUACCUAACCUCUCCUUCGGGAACUAGGUCACAGCUAUUGGCCAACAGGUUAUUUGAUCAUUCCAUGGAAGGAUUUAAAAACUGGGAGUUUAUGACUACUCACUGCUGGAGUGAAAAAGCAGCAGGUGACUGGAUCUUGGAAAUCUGUGACACUCCCUCUCAGCUGAGAAAUUUCAAGACUCCAGGUAAAUUGAAAGAAUGGUCCUUAGUACUGUAUGGAACAUCUGUCCAGCCUUACUCACCAAGAAAUGAUUUUCCAAAAGUGGAACGAGUGCGCUCUAGUCCAGUUGAAGAAACUACAGAAGAUUAUGGAACAGAUGACUAUUCAGGUGCGUACUUUGAAGUAUCAUUCAUUUACUCUGGUUGUGCAUUUACUGAACACAUAAUAGAAACAACAUGGAUAAUCAGUCUUCUCUGA